GGCGCCGAGGGCGGCUGGCUUGUGGAGGCUGCGGUAAAGUCUUCCUCGGCGGCCGCGUCCCUGUCCCAGGCCUUGGUACCCUGGCCGUUCUCCGCCCGGGACUUGGGGGUGCUGAGCGGGGAUGCGGGUGUGCAGAGCUCUGUGUCCGCCUGGAUUUGAGAAAAGGAGGUCUCCUUUCCCUACCCCCUCUGCCCCUGCAUUCCACGCAUGGGAGGAGGAGGCAGAGUAAGGGGGCUCUUCCCCAAGGUCAUGAUAUAAAAUGAACAUCUGGCGAGGUGCGGUGGCUCACGCCUGUAAUCCCAGCAUUUUGCGAGGCCGAGGACGGUGGAUCACCUGAGGUCAGGAGUUCAAGACCAGCCUGGCCAGCAUGGUGAAACUCCAUCUCUACUAAAAAUACAAAAUUAGCCAGGCAUCAUGAGGAGAAAACUGAGGCUUAGAGAAAUUAAGUAAUUUGCCCAUGAUCACAAAGCUGGUAAACAGCUAAGUGGAAGGCCCACUUCCAGAGCUUUCCUUACCUGCUAGUUGCCGGUAGGCACCACUGAGGCAAAUGGACUGUUGUCCUGUUAAGAGUUCCACAGACCUAGAGAGUCUGGGAAUCACGGGUCUCGAUGUAUUCACACUAGUCCAGAACGUGGAGAGACCUGGAACUGCAGCUGCUCGGGGGCCACCUGACAGGAGCUGAGGUUUUCACAGAAGGACACAGCCACAGACAGCCCAUAGCUUGGCAGGGAGGAAGGUGGGGAAUAAAUACCCCACCAUGCCUUCCUCCCAUCUUUGGACUUCCCUCUCAGGGCCCCCAUUGGCUGAACCAGGGAUCAGGAGAGCCUGUUAAUGCAGUCCCUAGAGGUCAAACCUCUCAGAACAGAGUGGAGUGAGUGCAGAGUGGAUCUGGAGGGCAAAUGCACAGCCUCCCCGCUUACCAUCCUCAGCACCAGUGCAGGUUAACACGAAUUCCCAAGGCCUUCGAAUGCCAAGCCUUGGCUGCCGCAGUACCUCACAGCUCACCACAACUCUCACCUCUCCCUUCAGGACAACAUCUGAACGGGCCAGGUGGGGCAUUGUGCAGGCUUGGGCCACACUGCAAGCCCCUCCUUUGGCCCUGUCUUUACUUACUGGGCUGCCAAGUGAGGAAAACCAGGCCAGAAAAAGAACCAGCCCCCCUCCUCCACCUAGGCAUUUGCAGCUCUGCCAGCACUUGGGCAUCUUGUCCGUGAUCUAAUCAUGCACGAGGUCAGGGGGUUUUUAUGCAGUCUAGGGAUUUGACUGUGAAUGACAGAAAUUUCUUCCUACCAGGAUUUUGCAUGCUUCCGAGCUGAAACCUCCUGGAGCAAGGAAGCAGGGCAGAGUGUGUGUGUGUGUGUGUGUGUGUGUGUGUGUGUGUGUGUGUGUCAGGGGAGAGGGGCAGAAUGAAGGCGUGUUCUAAAGGCAUGUUCCCGCUCUUCAUACUUACCCAGGCUUUAUAGGCGCAUGUGUGGCUGCAGUUGUGGCUAAAAUAUGAAUGAAUGUGGUGGUGUGCAGGUGCAUGAAUGACUGUAAGUUUCUGUGAAUGAAUGUGUUUGUGAUGAAGAGUGCAUGGGAGCCCUUGCAAGCCGGGAUAGUGGUUUGCAGGUGCCUGGCUGGCUGGCUGGAAGCAUCCACUGAUCAGCAUCUUUACCAAAGUCUAUGAGUGUUGGGUUGAGGAGGGAGGAGGGGAAUACUCUGUUUUCUCAUAGCACCUCCCUUUUGCUGCUGCCACUGCUGCAUAGCAGCAUGAACCAUUGGCAAUUGCCUUGUCCUCCCUGAAGCCCCAGAGAAGAAAGUCAGGGGAAAGACAAGCAAAAACGUGGUCAGUCUGUCGUCAGUUGACGGCUCCUCCAGGCACCAAGAAUUGUCCUUAGAUAAACUCUAGUCUCAGAGCCUCCUGACUAGCCCAUGGGGCUGAACAAGGGGCAGAUGAGUGGUAGCUCAGGUUAGAUUUUCUCUGACCUCUACUCCCCUGACCUACUAGCCUGGUCAGGCAGAAUUAUUCAUAUUCUGCCCUUAUCUGAAAUGUUGAGAUUAAUAAGACCGUCUUCCCUUCUGUCUCCCAGCCAGAUUUGGGGGAAUGAAAGGAGGGGCCACAUUCGUUUAGGAAGUAGUGAUAAGCAAAAAUGAUUGGGUAGUUACCAAUUAAAAACCUGACUUCAUGAGCAUAUCAAAAAAAAAAAGUUAAGGGCCACUUAAUUUUAAAUCAUAUGAUUUAAAUCCAUUUUGGGUUCCUCUUCUCCUCCACUUGAGGUCCCCCAUAGUUUUUGUCAUCCACGUGGCCUCUGUGAGGGCCCCUGCACAUCAUGGCCCCAAAUAGUCCCCUCAUUAACAGUCUCAGCAGAGGCCAAAGACUGAAUAGGUCAGAGAAACCAAAUUCUUGUAUCAUCCGGAGGCCCAAGUGAACCUAUCUGUGGAGGGCAAGUGAGGGAGAGAGGGCUGAGAAGCAAGAAAUGUGGGAAAUGAAGACUUUGCAAAACUAUGGUAAACUGCCUCCUCUGAAAAUAGAAAAAUCCAACAUUCCCCAACCACCCCCUCUCCCACAAAUACUUUGAAGUGGCAAAUCUCACCCACUUUGCUUCCAUGGGGAGGCACUCUGUAUUCACAUAUAUAAUCCAUAGGUAUUUAUAAAAAUGUAUAAUUGUGAAAUGGACUAAUGAAAACUAUUGUUAGCUAAGUGAAGAGGGCAGUUGUCUCCCCCUCCCAUAAAAGGCAGAUGUUUAAAUAAAUGCAGAUUUUAAUAAUACAA